UAAAAUGAAUCUAUGCCACUAAUCCAAUAGGCAGUUAAUACGUUUAUUUAAGGUAUAAAUGCUAUCGCAGGUAUUCCUCACCAAAGUGAAGGUGAAGGUGCAGAGCUUACCAAGGAGGUGUCCCUGUCUUGGUGGAGAAGGAGCACAGAACAUCGACUGCCUCUUCUAGGGUUGGGAACGUACACCGAUGGACACAAACGAAUUAGAGCAACAGCCUUGGAGGAGUUUGAGGCAGCAACCCAAGGUUUCAGCUGUGUUCAGAGAAAGCCGAAAGGAAAGGCUCAAAGAGAUGCUUGGAAAGAGCCUUAAGGGGCAAACGGAACCAGACCUCAACAAAUGGAGAAAAAACUGGGGAACCUCCGUGGAAUUUGAGCUAAUCCGUGAGAGCUACAGGACAUGCAGACACAGGCAGGUAACAAAUAAGACACAGGUAUGCUGCUUUUCCAGAACUAACGCAGGUAACGCAGAAUUUUUCCUAAGUACAAUGUGGUGGAGGCAAAGGUAGCUAGCGGGCAUGUGCCCACGUCCAAAUUAGGCAAAAUUCUCUGUUACCUAGCCUAGAGGGAUCCGAGUUUAGGAUCCACAAAG